GCAAAGACGCCUUAAAUGUAUUG
rnacentral:siRNA from 1 species